CUACGGGACGCUCCAGUGAGGAAUAUUGGUCAAUGGACGCAAGUCUGAACCAGCCAUGCCGCGUGCAGGAUGACGGCUCUAUGAGUUGUAAACUGCUUUUGUACGAGGGUAAACGCAGAUACGUGUAUCUGUCUGAAAGUAUCGUACGAAUAAGGAUCGGCUAACUCCGUGCCAGCAGCCGCGGUAAUACGGAGGAUUCAAGCGUUAUCCGGAUUUAUUGGGUUUAAAGGGUGCGUAGGCGGUUUGAUGAGUUAGAGGUGAAAUUUCGGGGCUCAACCCUGAACGUGCCUCUAAUACUGUUGAGCUAGAGAGUAGUUGCGGUAGGCGGAAUGUAUGGUGUAGCGGUGAAAUGCUUAGAGAUCAUACAGAACACCGAUUGCGAAGGCAGCUUACCAAACUAUAUCUGACGUUGAGGCACGAAAGCGUGGGGAGCAAACAGGAUUAGAUACCCCCGUAGUC
rnacentral:rRNA from 1 species